GCUCGCCGAGGCGGAGGGGCGGGGCCGGGGAGGGGCGGAGAGGCAGGCGGGCGAGCGGGCGGGGACCGGGGAGGGGCGGCGCCGCCCCGGGGCGCACCUGGCCGAGCCGGCUGAUCCGCUGGCGAACCACGUAGAUGUUGGACGCCAUGCUGAGCGCCGCGCCCCCUCCCAGAAGCCCGGCCCCGCGCGCCGGCCCCUGCCGCGCAUGCGCCCCCUGCCCGCGCCGGGACCUCAGCCGGGAGCUCCUCCGCCCCUCACCCCGAAGCCCGGAGAGCCGCUCCUCUCGCGCAUGCGCACCCUGCUCGCGCAGGGCCCCUGCCGGGGGCGCGUCCGCCCCUCGCCCCGAAGCCCGGCGCGCCGGCUCCUCCCGCGCAUGCGCGCUCUGCCUGCGCGGUUGUCGGCUUUCCCGCAGGCCGGCAGCCUCCGCCGCUGCCCUUCGCGGUUCCCCGCUCUUAGGUAGAUGUCUAAAGCAUCUACACAGACGAAGCCGCGCUUCCGGGCUGCUCUUCGGGGCCUUUUAUGAAAAUGCUGGAAAGUUCUUGCAGGACCACAGAUUUCGGGCGUCUCUGCCGUAGGGUCAUAGGCAGGAGGGGAGCAAAGAUGAUUUAGAUGGAGGGCAUCCUGUUGAGAAGCCACCCUGAUGAAGGUGCUCCUGCUGAGCUGUUCAUUAUCCUAAAGAAGGAUUGUCAAUUACAGACCUCACCAGGAAGAAGUCCUCAACAGGAAGCAUCCUCAAUGACAGACCCCAACAGGAAGAGAUGUACAUUGCAUCCCCAACAAGAAAUCGACUGCCCUGGACACAGCCAAUGAGAAACCACCACAGCCCUGAACCCUCACUUUCCAACAGUGGAUUUUCUUCAAAACAACCACUCCCAACUUCCUCCUUUUUCUCUACAUAAUAACGUUCCUCUCCUUUGCUUGCUGGACUUGCCUGUGGCUUUUGCUAUAGCUGGCUUGUCCUCAAUUGCAAUUCCUUUGCUAUUCCUGAA